rnacentral:tRNA from 1 species
UAGAGUUUGGUGUGAGAUAGGUUGCACGAAGAAUUUUGAAUUCUUAGGGGUAGGUUCAAUUCCUAUAAUUCUAG